rnacentral:rRNA from 1 species
UACGUAGGUGGCGAGCGUUGUCCGGAAUUACUGGGCGUAAAGGGAGCGUAGGCGGUUUGAUAAGUGGGAUGUGAAAUCCCCGGGCUUAACCUGGGAAUUGCAUUUCAAACUGUUAGACUAGAGUGCGGGAGAGGAAAGUGGAAUUCCAAGUGUAGCGGUGAAAUGCGUAGAGAUUUGGAGGAACACCAGUGGCGAAGGCGACUUUCUGGACCGUAACUGACGCUGAGGCUCGAGAGCGUGGGGAGCAAACAGG